rnacentral:lncRNA from 1 species
CAUCCCACCCACUCCCAAACAAAGAAGUAGAAAAAGGCAAGAGGAAAAGGAACAAAAAUCUCUGGGCCCUGGAACAUCCAUCCAUCCAUCGCUGGCUGGCUGGGCUGGCUCUGCUCAGGCUACGUGGCCAAUAUGCAGCUGAAGGAAAAUAAAGUGCCAAAGGGCACACAUGGCUUUUAGUGGCUUUUGUUUUGAGCCAUAAACAUGGCUAGGGCACUGGUGGAGCCAAGGGGAUUUUUGAGCACAUUGAUUGGGAAAUUUCAAAAAAGAGUUUCAGAGUUAUACAACACUAAAAAAUGUGCAUAAAACGAGUGUUCAAAUUGAUCAACUUAUGUGUUUA